rnacentral:rRNA from 1 species
AAGGUUUCCGUAGGUGAACCUGCGGAAGGAUCAUUAUAGAUUCAAUGAAAAAAGGAGGGUUUGAGCUGUGCUGGCCUCUCUGGAGGGGUAUGUGCACGCCAUCCCUCUGCUACAUUCCCUUACCCCCUGUGCACCUGUUGUAGGCUGAGUGUCUAACACAAGCCUAUGUUUUUCACAUCUUACUCCAAGUAUGUCUGAUGAAUGUCUUGUUGUAAAACAAAAAACAAUAUAACUUUCAGCAAUGGAUCUCUUGGUUCUCGCAUCGAUGAAGAACGCAGCGAAUUGCGAUAUGUAAUGUGAAUUGCAGAUUUUCCGUGAAUCAUCGAAUCUUUGAACGCACCUUGCGCUCCUUGGUAUUCCGAGGAGCAUGCCUGUUUGAGUGUCAUUAAAUUCUCAAGCAUCACCUCAUUUUCUUAUGAGGUUGGUGCUCGGAUUGUGGGGGAAGAUUAUGUUGGCCUUGUGUGGUCAGCUCCCCUGAAAUGUAUUAGCAACAGAGACCUGUAGGAGGCCCCUUCUUAUUUGUUGGUGUGAUAAUGAUCGCCACGAAUGGGGGGGUUCAAUUUUGGGAGAUGUUGCUUAUAGACUUUUGUGUCCUGCACACACGCUUUUGAAAGUUUGACCU